UUGUUAUCAAGCAGAAAAUUCAAGAAAUUCUUGUAGCGUACGAUAUCACUUCUGAACAAAUCAUUAGUGUAACCUGCGAUAAUGGGGCAAAUAUGUUGGCAGCUGUUAGACAGCUAGACCAAGAUAUGCACGCAUCAAAGCUCCAACAAUCCAUGCUUGAGAGCGACGAUGAAAACGAUGAUGAGGACUUUUUGGGUGAUAUUAUUGAGGAGUUUGCCCCGACAGUAAAUUUAGUUCAAUGUUCCGUCCACACUCUGCAAUUGGCGGUGGUUGAUGUGGUGAAACCGAACGACGACCAGCAUUACGAAAGUUGCGAAAAAUUGCAGAAAAGCUUUAUACAAACCUUCGUUUGAGAUGGAGAAGUUCCUCUUCCACCGCUGUACGCGAAAACUAGGUGGGGAGGAAUUUACGAAAUGAUCGUCAAUUUCUACGACAAUGAAAAAUUUUAAAGAGAUCUAGGAAAAAAGUUCAGCGAGCUUGAUCUAUCGAAAUUCUGGAAUUUUAUUCACGAAUUCAAAACUGCUUUACACCCCGUUUAUAUCUGCACUAAGUUGAUGCAGGCGAAACAUAUAACUUUGUCGGAGUUUUUUAUCGAAUGGCUUCGGUGCAUGAUGGAACUAAAGCAGCUUACCUCAAGUGACUUAGCUGAAUCAUUGGUAGCAUCGCUGAAUAGGAGACUCGAACUUCUCCGCGAAAAUUUACCGUUUAAAGCUGCUUUGUUAAUUGACCCGAGACUAAACUAUUUAUCUUCAACUGUUCUCUCUCUAGAAGAAAAGCAAGAGGCUAAACGUUUCAUCUUUGAUACAUAUGAGCGAAUGAAAUCUGUUAAACCUAAACAAUCAUUGGAUGCAACCGCUCCUGCCGAAAAUAAAAACACAUCAAACAAACCUCUUUGGAGGUUCGUUCCCAUCUACCGGUUCUGAAUCCUCAGAGAGCAAACUUGAAAAACAAGUCAGCUCUUUGGAUUUGGAAUCACAUAAACCACACAGCUUUGACAUAUGGAAGCACUGGAAAGAACGAAGAGAUUCGCAUCCUGAGCUUUCGAAGUUGGCCCUCGCUAUUUUAUCAAAUCCAGCAACCCAAGCCUCUGUCGAGAGAGCAUUUAGUGCUCUAGCACUUGUGUUGUCAGAUGCCAGAACAAAACUGAGUGAGGAAAAUUUAUCAAAAAUUUUAAUUAUUAAAUUGAACGAGGAGUUACUAGAUGUCAUUGUCCCUUAUAUGAACGAUUGGAAACAAUUCAAAGGAUUGGAUACACUCGCAAAAAUAAAAUUUCUA